rnacentral:rRNA from 1 species
GACGAACGCUGGCGGCGCGCUUAACACAUGCAAGUCGAACGGAAAGGCCUGCUUUCCCUUGUGGAUUGCGGGUACUCGAGUGGCGAACGGGUGAGUAACACGUGAGUGAUCUGCCCCCAACUUGGGUAUAAGCCUGGGAAACUGGGUCUAAUUCCCGAUAGGACUGCAGGGUGGUGCCUGUGGUGGAAAACGAUUUUCUAGUGGUUGGGGAUGAGCUGGCGGCCUAUCAGCUUGUUGGUGGGGGAAUGGCCUACCAAGGCGGCGACGGGUAGCCGGCCUGGGAGAGUGGGCGGCCACAUUGGGACUGAGAUACGGCCCAGACUCCUACGGGAAGCAGCAGUGGGGAAUAUGGCGCAAUGGGCGGAAGCCAGAUGCAGCGACGCCGAGGGGGGAAUGACGGCCUUCGGGUUGUAAACUCCUUUCGACCGCGAGGAAGCCACCUGGUUGGAAGGGUGGUGACGGUAGUGGUAGAAGAAGCACCGGCUAACUACGUG